UUCCGGUUGAUCCUGCCAGAGGUUACUGCUAUCGAGGUUCGACUAAGCCAUGCGAGUCGAAUGUAGCAAUACAUGGCGUACUGCUCAGUAACACGUGGACAACCUGCCCUUAGGUUGGGUAUAAACCCGGGAAACUGGGCAUAAUCCCCUAUAAGUCUCGGCUGCUGGAAUGCACCGAGAUUAAAAGCUCCGGCGCCUAAGGAUGGGUCUGCGGCCUAUCAGGUAGUAGUGUGUGUAGCGUACCUACUAGCCUACGACGGGUACGGGUUGUGAGAGCAAGAGCCCGGAGAUGGAUUCUGAGACACGAAUCCAGGCCCUACGGGGUGCAGCAGGCGCGAAAACUUUACAAUGCUGGCAAGAGCGAUAAGGGAACCUCGAGUGCCAGGUUACAAAUCUGGCUGUCGAGAUGCCUAAAAAGCAUUUCAUAGCAAGGGCCGGGCAAGACCGGUGCCAGCCGCCGCGGUAACACCGGCGGCUCGAGUGGUAACCGUUAUUAUUGGGUCUACAGGGUCUGUAGCCGGCCGGAUAAGUCUCUUGAGAAAUCUGGCAGCUCAACUGUCAGGCUUUCAGGAGAUACUGUCUGGCUCGAGGCCGGGAGAGGUGAGAGGUACUUCAGGGGUAGGGGUGAAAUCUUGUAAUCCUUGAAGGACCACCAGUGGCGAAGGCGUCUCACCAGAACGGACCUGACGGCAAGGGACGAAAGCUAGGGGCACGAACCGGAUGAGAUACCCGGGUAGUCCUAGCCGUAAACGAUACUCGCUAGGUGUCGGCCACGGUGCGACCGUUGUCGGUGCCGUAGGGAAGCCGUGAAGCGAGCCACCUGGGAAGUACGGCCGCAAGGCUGAAACUUAAAGGAAUUGGCGGGA
rnacentral:rRNA from 1 species